ensembl:lncRNA
CGAGGCUACAGGGAAGAAAGGACAGCAGAAGGGGAGUGCAGGUGCAGAUCCCCCAAACACAGCACUCCCUGCCCGCUAGGGUUGCGGGUGCGACGCAGUCACCACAAUGACGUCGAGGAUCAAUGCCGGGUAAUUCAGUGAGCGUUCCAACAAAGAAUCAAGGAAAAAACUGCCAGGCAAAGGAAAGAAACCUUCUGGCAACAGGUCUUCAACGUUACGCGUAGAGUCCUUUGGAACAGGAGUUGUUUCUGUGUCAACAACUUGAAGAUCAAUUCAGGCAACGGCUACUAAAGAAAAACGAGUCACAUAACAUGGAGAGCAAAGAAGAGAAGAGAGAGGAAACAGAGAGGUGCCAGCACUGCCACCCGGGUGGGCAGCAGGCUGCUGGUGCCAGCGUCAUCAUGGGCGGCGGCCAGCACUGGCCACGCUGUCACCGCGUCGCCGUGGCGACGUUUGUGACACGGCCACCCGGGAGGGGUAUGAAGGCGGUGCACGCUGGUGGGUCCUGCAUCCUGAAGGAGCAUCUGGUAGAGAGCAGACGCACCUGAAGGGAUGAGCUCCGGCAUGGCUGGCGCCAACAAGGAGCAACCCGCUGGCACGAGGCGGAACAGGAUGAGCUUCUGCGAGGAUGGCCCCGCAGCGAGGCGUGCCUCCAUACCCACCUGCACCGACACCGAAGGUACACGGCUCCACAGCCACCACAGGAGCGCUGCUGCAGCCAAUCCUGGCACGCAGACGACACUUUCCAUCUGCCACCUCACUCCCGCCUGGCAGCGGGAGGGCUGCCGGGAAGCGGCAGGUGCAGAGUGUGACCCGCUUUUCCUUUGCCCUCCAGAGCGAGUUGCCGUCUGGGAUGCGGUGGCCGCCUACGUACAAGAGCACCUCCUGGUGCAGAAGGUGGGUUGGCUGCCGGGUUCCUCCUCUCCCUGUCCUCCUCAGCCAAGACUUCCUCCCACUCUUCCCCUCCACAGAAAGCAGGAAACUCACCCCACGUGUCUCUACUGGGCAUGCCAUGGGCUUCCUGCAAAUCCCGCAGGAUCACUUGUGCUGGGCGCUGUCCUGUCUCAGGGCUGAUCCCGCUCGCGGGAAGCCUCUGGAUCCCAUCAGGCUGCUUCUGCCCUGACUGCUGUGCUGCAUUUGGGAGGGUGAGGGGAAGGAGAGGACUGUGCAGCCCCUUCCCAAAGCCAUUCCCGAUGCCCUGGCUUGUGCCUCUGAACAGCGAGAGAGGGCUCCUGAGCUCCGUCCCUGCCUUGGACCGCUACAUGGGCUCUUCCUCCAGCCAGCCGGCCCAUAACCCUGCCGCCCUUCCUUUCUCUACCACUUGUAGGGGGUCUGGAUUCCCACCUUCGGAUCCUUUGACACCAUCUCCAGAGACAUCAGGACUGAGGACGGGACCGUGACUCUGCGGUGGCCCGUCUUUCACUUGUCUGGAAACCUCAUAGCCGUGCACCACCUCAAGCCCCGCAGGGAGUCCCUGCCAGCCCAUAGGAAGCUGGAGCCGCUCAAGAGCAGCGAGGUGGCCGCAGCUGCCUCUGUGACCUGGCAGACAGCGCAGGCUUGCAUCCAAAGCACCGUGUCCCUGCUCUCUG